CCCAGCUGCUUUUCCCAGUACUGUAUUACAAAAGUAAAACAUUGUUCUAGUUGCCAUUAGAGGGCACCAGAGAGCAAGCCCCAUCACCCCUCGCACAACUUCCAGCAGAAAGCCCUCCCAGCUUCCAGCUUCGCCAUGCUCUGUAAUUCCUUCUCUCAGAGACAAAAAGAUUUGGAAGUACUGCCACAGUGUGAAGGAUAGACCUGAAUGUCCAUUACCAGCAAAUCGACUGAUUAGAAGAAAUCCACAAACUAGUUGAAGGAGAACAAGAAAAAGAGGCAAAUGAUGGACAUUAAAAUAAUCAAAUAUCAAAGAGCUGGUAAGGAUGUAAAGGUCUGUAUUUACAUUUUUUCUUUGAGCAGGUAUUUAUUGUCUGCUGUGUGCCAGGAAUUGUGCUCAGGCAUUAGAUAUAAAAGUGAAUAAGAAAGAAAUAGUCUCGGUCCUAGGAGAAGCAGCCAGUCUAGUGAGGAGAAGGCCCAGUAAAUAAGCAACUGAUUAAAUAUGACUUUUUAGAAAUAAUACUCUGUAGGUGCACUUGAAAUGAAAAUGGCUUGUUAAGCUCAGAGAAAAGAAAUAUAAGGUAGUUAAAUAUGUUAUUGGAAUCUGAAAUAAACAAGUAUUUUCGUCCUGACCACAGAAACCAAUAAUUAUUACACUUUUUAUUUGGUGGUUCUGGGGUUCAAGCCCAGGGCCCAUGCAUGCUAGGCAAGCAUUCCCCAAGCAUGCCGCGCACCCCCACCCCGUGCCUUGGAACUCCCUUUUAAAAAAUUGUAAUUGUAUGUCAUCUUUUAGGCUCUGCAAUGUCCUAUGUUCCAUCUUCAGCUCUAAGACCAGUGAUCAUAUCAUGUUGCCAAAAUGAAUUGAAGUUUUCCAAGCAAUGAAAUAACUAUCAAGUAUCCAAAUAUUAAAGUCUUAUGAUAUGUUCUUUUUUUUUUCUUCUUCCUGGUUUUGUCCAGUAGGUAAUAUUUUAAACUAAGUAACAGAAAGGCAGAUUAGCAAGACUCUCAAGGGUGAAACUGUAACAAUCAUUUUUUUCCCCUUCUUGUGUGAUACUGCUGUACCUGGCACAAACUUUACAUUUAAAUUAUUUCCCCACCAUUUAAAAAAUAUUUCUAUCUCUCCUUUAAAGAAAAAUUUAUGUCUCCAUCCUUUAUAUCUCUAGUGCCUGACAUAGUUUUUUGGAACACAGUAUAGGUUUUUGAAUAAAAGAAUACAAGAAGGAAUAAAUAUAGUUAAUCUUUGCUUCAUUGAGUUAGUAAAAAGAUCUCCUCAGCUACUUUUGUCACUCCAUUGUUGAAACACAGUUGCUUUUUUAUUUUAUACUAAUGCUUCAUAAUUUAGCAUCUAAGAUUAGCUUGUCACUCAACAAUUAAACUUCUAAAAGCCAAAAGUACCAUGUUUGUUUGUUUGUGUGUUUGUUUAUACUGAGAAUUGAACCUACAGGUACUUUACCACUGAGCUACAUUUCCAGCCCUUUUUAA